GACGGAGGGUGCUAGCGUUGUUCGGAAUUACUGGGCGUAAAGGGCGCGUAGGCGGCUCUUUCAGUCGGAUGUGAAAGCCCGGGGCUCAACCCCGGAACGGCAUCCGAGACGGGAGGGCUCGAGUCCGGGAGAGGAGGGUGGAAUAGCCAGUGUAGAGGUGAAAUUCGUAGAUAUUGGCUGGAACACCGGUGGCGAAAGCGGCUCUCUGGCCCGGUCCUGACGCUGAGGCGCGAAAGCGUGGGGAGCAAACAGG
rnacentral:rRNA from 1 species